rnacentral:rRNA from 1 species
CCUACGGGAGGCAGCAGUGGGGAAUAUUGGACAAUGGGGGAAACCCUGAUCCAGCGACGCCGCGUGAGUGAAGAAGUAUUUCGGUAUGUUAAGCUCUAUCAGCAGGGAAGAAAAUGACGGUACCUGACUAAGAAGCCCCGGCUAACUACGUGCCAGCAGCCGCGGUAAUACGAAGGGGGCAAGCGCUAUCCGGAUUUACUGGGUGUAAAGGGAGCGUAGACGGCAUUGCAAGCCUGAUGUGAAAGGUUGGGGCUCAACCCCAGGCUUGCAUUGGAAACUGGAAGGCUGGAGUACAGGAGAGGUAAGCGGAAUUCGUGGUGUAGCGGUGAAAUGCGUAGAUAUUAGGAGGAACACCGGUGGCGAAGGCGGCUUGCUGGACUGUAACUGACGUUGAGGCUCGAAAGCGUGGGGAGCGAACAGGAUUAGAUACCCGAGUAGUC